GGCGGCGUGCUUAACACAUGCAAGUCGAACGAUGAAGCCCUUCGGGGUGGAUUAGUGGCGAACGGGUGAGUAACACGUGGGCAAUCUGCCCUUCACUCUGGGACAAGCCCUGGAAACGGGGUCUAAUACCGGAUACGACCUGCCGAGGCAUCUUGGUGGGUGGAAAAGCUCCGGCGGUGAAGGAUGAGCCCGCGGCCUAUCAGCUUGUUGGUGGGGUGAUGGCCUACCAAGGCGACGACGGGUAGCCGGCCUGAGAGGGCGACCGGCCACACUGGGACUGAGACACGGCCCAGACUCCUACGGGAGGCAGCAGUGGGGAAUAUUGCACAAUGGGCGAAAGCCUGAUGCAGCGACGCCGCGUGAGGGAUGACGGCCUUCGGGUUGUAAACCUCUUUCAGCAGGGAAGAAGCGCAAGUGACGGUACCUGCAGAAGAAGCGCCGGCUAACUACGUGCCAGCAGCCGCGGUAAUACGUAGGGCGCAAGCGUUGUCCGGAAUUAUUGGGCGUAAAGAGCUCGUAGGCGGCUUGUCGCGUCGGAUGUGAAAGCCCGGGGCUUAACCCCGGGUCUGCAUUCGAUACGGGCAGGCUAGAGUGUGGUAGGGGAGAUCGGAAUUCCUGGUGUAGCGGUGAAAUGCGCAGAUAUCAGGAGGAACACCGGUGGCGAAGGCGGAUCUCUGGGCCAUUACUGACGCUGAGGAGCGAAAGCGUGGGGAGCGAACAGGAUUAGAUACCCUGGUAGUCCACGCCGUAAACGUUGGGAACUAGGUGUUGGCGACAUUCCACGUCGUCGGUGCCGCAGCUAACGCAUUAAGUUCCCCGCCUGGGGAGUACGGCCGC
rnacentral:rRNA from 1 species